ACAUGCAAGUCGAACGGUCAAAAUUUGGGGGCUUGCCCCCAUAAGACGAGUGGCGGACGGGUGAGUAACGCAUGGGAAUGUACCCAGCAGCGGGGGAUAACCCUGGGAAACCAGGGCUAAUACCGCAUGCGCUCUACGGAGGAAAGCGGGGGAUCUUCGGACCUCGCACUGUUGGAGCAGCCCAUGUCCGAUUAGUUUGUUGGCGGGGUAACGGCCCACCAAGGCGACGAUCGGUAGCUGGUCUGAGAGGAUGAUCAGCCACACCGGGACUGAGACACGGCCCGGACUCCUACGGGAGGCAGCAGUGGGGAAUAUUGGACAAUGGGGGCAACCCUGAUCCAGCGAUGCCGCGUGAGUGAAGAAGGCCUUCGGGUUGUAAAGCUCUUUCGCAGGGGAAGAAACAGUCGAGAAUAAUACGCUCGGCGAAUGACGGUACCCUGAGAAGAAGCACCGGCUAACUUCGUGCCAGCAGCCGCGGUAAUACGGGGGGUGCAAGCGUUAAUCGGAAUUACUGGGCGUAAAGCGUGCGUAGGCGGUUGUGCAAGUCAGAUGUGAAAGCCCCGGGCUUAACCUGGGAAUUGCGUCCGAAACUGCGCGACUAGAGUUCGGCAGAGGAAGGUGGAAUUCCGCGUGUAGCGGUGAAAUGCGUAGAGAUGCGGAAGAACACUAAUGGCGAAGGCAUCCUUCUGGGCCGAUACUGACGCUGAGUCACGAAAGCGUGGGGAGCAGACAGGAUUAGAUACCCUGGUAGUCCACGCCCUAAACGAUGCCCGCUAGCUGUUGGGGGUUCUGCCCUCGGUAGCGAAGCUAACGCGUUAAGCGGGCCGCCUGGGGAAUACGGUCGCAAGAUUAAAACUCAAAGGAAUUGACGGGGACCCGCACAAGCGGUGGAUGAUGUGGUUUAAUUCGAUGCAACGCGAAAAACCUUACCUGCUCUUGACAUGUCAGGAAUCCUACAGAGAUGUAGGGGUGCCCUAGGGAAUCUGAACACAGGUGCUGCAUGGCUGUCGUCAGCUCGUGUCGUGAGAUGUUGGGGUUAAGUCCCGCAACGAGCGCAACCCUU
rnacentral:rRNA from 1 species